UUCCAGUGUGAGCCUUCACCCAGAAACCCAGCAACCAGCCCGUCUCGGAUCGGGACUGUAUGCCCACCCGCUGGACACCACGCACACCAGCCACUGCAAAACCACGUCCACAUGUGUGACCUCAUAUGACCCACACAAUGGAUGCACAAUCAUGACUUUUGAAAAAAAAAAAAAAGUAUGUAUCAAGCUGAAGGCGAAUUCAAGAAGGUAUUAAAGUUGAGUGCUGGUUAGUCCUGACUGUCAAGCUGACAGGCUGAAGAGGCCCCUGGAGGAGACUGGAUCCGCUGCAAACCUCCUCACAGGUUAGACUGCUCAGAUGCCAUGGGUUGAACAGCUUCUCUCCACCACAUCCUUCUGGAUGUGGCUGCCUCAGAGCCAGCCAACCAUGGACUGAACACUCCAAAACCACUCCUCCUUUAAGGUUUGGGUGUCAAGUAUUUGAUCCCAGCACUGGGACCAAGACAAGGGCAAUCCAGAGCUCGCUGCUAUGUGCUGUCCACGGUGCUGAGAGCGACCAGCCACCAACAGACAGACAGACAGAUGCUUUCUCCGGAGGAGGAGGGGCGGGCCUCGGGCAAGGGCCGCACUGCGAGGUCGGAGCCCUGGCAGGUCUGUCCUGCUGAGCCUAAAGAAUGACGGCUCCAGCUACCUCAGGGCUUGGGGACCGGCAUCCCGGCCCUUGCCUGCUGGUCACUAAAACCACAAUUUGUGUUUUCUUCUGGAACCGCCACAGACAUGGAAGUCUCUUUUGCCAUGAACCAUGACUCCUCACUGGGGCCAGGAGAUGCCCAGCAGCCUUGACCUUCAUGUUGCAACCUUAUCUCUGUAAGUCCUGGGUGGGAUCGCGCCCCGGCUCUCCCCUAGGUGUCUGUAUAGGAGCUGUAGACUGGGCUGCUGAGCCCUGAGUACACAGGGUCCACCCCCCUGGAGACUGAGGACGCCAAGAUCUGAGGCUCAUGGGGACAUCGGCCACCCCAGAGGCCUCUAGCCUCCUGGAUUCUGGAAAGGUGGAGCCCCGAGGACUGAGACCCCCACAGGUAGAGAUAAUCCUUCCCUGGAGAUAAAACUGUCCCUCACCAGGAGGACCCCAGACCAGGGCACUGAGACUGAGAUGGGGACGAGCCGUCCCAGCCCCCCACAACACUGGAAAGCUGGGCUCUGCCUCUGAGGGUGGGCCCAUCUGCACCCCUGUAUCAAGCAUGCCCCCAGAUACCCAAGCUGGACUCCUUUCUUGUCUUCCCUCUAAC